AUUGAACGCUGGCGGCAGGCCUAACACAUGCAAGUCGAGCGGAUGAUGGGAGCUUGCUCUCUGAUUUAGCGGCGGACGGGUGAGUAAUGCCUAGGAAUCUGCCUGGUAGUGGGGGAUAACGUUCCGAAAGGAACGCUAAUACCGCAUACGUCCUACGGGAGAAAGCGGGGGAUCUUCGGACCUCGCGCUAUCAGAUGAGCCUAGGUCGGAUUAGCUAGUUGGUGAGGUAAAGGCUCACCAAGGCGACGAUCCGUAACUGGUCUGAGAGGAUGAUCAGUCACACUGGAACUGAGACACGGUCCAGACUCCUACGGGAGGCAGCAGUGGGGAAUAUUGGACAAUGGGCGAAAGCCUGAUCCAGCCAUGCCGCGUGUGUGAAGAAGGUCUUCGGAUUGUAAAGCACUUUAAGUUGGGAGGAAGGGUUGUAGAUUAAUACUCUGCAAUUUUGACGUUACCGACAGAAUAAGCACCGGCUAACUUCGUGCCAGCCGCCGCCGUAAUAC
rnacentral:rRNA from 1 species